rnacentral:rRNA from 1 species
UACGUAGGGUGCAAGCGUUAAUCGGAAUUACUGGGCGUAAAGCGUGCGCAGGCGGUUGUGUAAGACAGAUGUGAAAUCCCCGGGCUCAACCUGGGAACUGCAUUUGUGACUGCACGGCUGGAGUGCGGGCAGAGGGGGAUGGAAUUCCGCGUGUAGCAGUGAAAUGCGUAGAUAUGCGGAGGAACACCGAUGGCGAAGGCAAUCCCCUGGGCCUGCACUGACGCUCAUGCACGAAAAGCGUGGGGAGCAAACAGG